AGAGUUUGAUCAUGGCUCAGAGUGAACGCUGGCGGCAGGCCUAACACAUGCAAGUCGAGCGGCAGCAGCGGUAGCAAUACCGGCUGGCGAGCGGCGGACGGGUGAGGAACACAUCGGAAUCUGCCUUGUCGUGGGGGAUAACGUAGGGAAACUUACGCUAAUACCGCAUACGACCGCGAGGUGAAAGCGGAGGACCUUCGGGCUUCGCGCGAUGAGAUGAGCCGAUGUCGGAUUAGCUGGUUGGGGGGGUAACGGCCCACCAAGGCGACGAUCCGUAGCUGGUCUGAGAGGAUGAUCAGCCACACUGGAACUGAGACACGGUCCAGACUCCUACGGGAGGCAGCAGUGGGGAAUAUUGGACAAUGGGGGCAACCCUGAUCCAGCCAUGCCGCGUGGGUGAAGAAGGCCUUCGGGUUGUAAAGCCCUUUUGUCCGGGACGAAAGCGUACGGGUGAAUACCCCGUGCGGAUGACGGUACCGGAAGAAUAAGCACCGGCUAACUUCGUGCCAGCAGCCGCGGUAAUACGAAGGGUGCAAGCGUUACUCGGAAUUACUGGGCGUAAAGCGUGCGUAGGCGGUUUCUUAAGUCCGUUGUGAAAGCCCUGGGCUCAACCUGGGAAUGGCAGGGGAUACUGGGAAGCUGGAGUGCGGUAGAGGAGGGUGGAAUUCCCGGUGUAGCGGUGAAAUGCGUAGAGAUCGGGAGGAACAUCAGUGGCGAAGGCGGCCCUCUGGACCAGCACUGACGCUGAGGCACGAAAGCGUGAGGAGCAAACAGGAUUAGAUACCCUGGUAGUCCACGCCCUAAACGAUGCGAACUGGACGUUGGGCACACUUAGGUGCUCAGUGUCGAAGCUAACGCGUUAAGUUCGCCGCCUGGGGAGUACGGUCGCAAGACUGAAACUCAAAGGAAUUGACGGGGGCCCGCACAGCGGUGGAGUAUGUGGUUUAAUUCG
rnacentral:rRNA from 1 species